UACGUAGGGGGCAAGCGUUGUCCGGAUUUAUUGGGCGUAAAGAGCGUGUAGGCGGCCAGGGAGGUCCGUUGUGAAAACUCGAGGCUCAACCUCGAGACGCCGAUGGAAACCCCCUGGCUAGAGUCCGGAAGAGGAGAAUGGAAUUCCUGGUGUAGCGGUGAAAUGCGCAGAUAUCAGGAAGGACACCCGUGGCUAAGGCGGUUCUCUAGUACGGUACUGACGCUGAGACGCGAAAGCGUGGGGAGCGAACAGG
rnacentral:rRNA from 1 species